GACGAACGCUGGCGGCGUGCCUAAUACAUGCGAGUAGAACGCUGAAGAGAGGAGCUUACUCUUCUUGGAUGAGUUGCGAACGGGUGAGUAACGCGUAGGUAACCUGCCUUGUAGCGGGGGAUAACUAUUGGAAACGAUAGCUAAUACCGCAUAACAAUGGAUGACACAUGUCAUUUAUUUGAAAGGGGCAAUUGCUCCACUACAAGAUGGACCUGCGUUGUAUUAGCUAGUAGGUGAGGUAAUGGCUCACCUAGGCGACGAUACAUAGCCGACCUGAGAGGGGGGUCGGGCACACUGGGACCUGGACACGGCCCAGACUCCUACGGGAGGCAGCAGUAGGGAAUCUUCGGCAAUGGGGGCAACCCUGACCGAGCAACGCCGCGUGAGUGAAGAAGGGUUUCGGAUCGUAAAGCUCUGUUGUAAGUCAAGAACGGGUGUGAGAGUGGAAAGUUCACACUGUGACGGUAGCUUACCAGAAAGGGACGGCUAACUACGUG
rnacentral:rRNA from 1 species